CAGCCGCCGCGGUAAUACGAGGGGGGCAAGCGUUGUUCGGAAUUACUGGGCGUAGAGCGCACGUAGGCGGCUUGGUAAGUUAGAGGUGAAAGCCUGGAGCUCAACUCCAGAAUUGCCUUUAAGACUGCCGAGCUAGCAGGUGAGAGAGGUAAGUGGAAUUCCGAGUGUAGAGGUGAAAUUCGUAGAUAUUCGGAAGAACACCAGUGGCGAAGGCGGCUUACUGGCUCAUACUGGACGCUGAGGUGCGAAAGCGUGGGGAGCAAACAGGAUUAGAUACCCCUGUAGUCCCUGUCUCUUAUAC
rnacentral:rRNA from 1 species